rnacentral:tRNA from 1 species
GGAAGCGUGGCCGAGAGGCUGAUGGCGCCGGCUUUGAACACCGGAGAGGGCGCGAGUCCUCCGCAGGUUCGAAUCCUGCCGCUUCCGCCA